GUGACACAGACACACAUAUAUAUAUAUAUAUAUAUAUAAAAUGAACGGAAAAAGUUCAUGUGUUUGGUACCAUGGCUGAGCUGUGUGUGUGUGUCUGUACUGGCUGAGGUGUGUGUGUGCCUGUACUGGCUGAGGUAGGUGUGUGUGUGUGUGUGUGUGUGUGUGUGUGUGUGUGUGUGUGUGUGUGUGUGUGUGUGUGUGUACCUGUACUGGCUGAGGUGUGUGUGUGUGUGUGUGUGUACCUGUACUGGCUGAGGUGUGUGUGUGUGUGUACCUGUACUGGCUGAGGUGUGUGUGUGUGUGUACCUGUACUGGCUGAGGUGUGUGUGUGUGUGUACCUGUACUGGCUGAGGUGUGUGUGUGUGUGUACCUGUACUGGCUGAGGUGUGUGUGUGUGUGUACCUGUACUGGCUGAGGUGUGUGUGUGUGUACCUGUACUGGCUGAGGUGUGUGUGUGUGUACCUGUACUGGCUGAGGUGUGUGUGUGUGUACCUGUACUGGCUGAGGUGUGUGUGUGUGUACCUGUACUGGCUGAGGUGUGUGUGUGUGUACCUGUACUGGCUGAGGUGUGUG